CUGAUUGACGCGCCGGGCCAACGCACCGUCGAGCCCAUUUCCCGGCAGUCCGGGAAGCGCGCUUAGGGUCAG
rnacentral:ncRNA from 1 species